CAAAAGGUUCCUUUUAUUAGUAUAGAUUGCGUUAAUAUAUAAAAAAAACUAUUUUUUUUGGUUUCUAAAGUACUGCUUAGAGCAUGUUUAUUGCAAGGUUCUUAUCAAGUCUCUAACUAUCUUAUGCUAUAAAGAAGAAGGAUUCUCUCACGGGAAGGAGACACGUCAGAAAAUCGGUUAACCACGUUGCGACACAUGUCCCCUUACUUUAAACAUUACGUUCCAUUUAUUUGAUCACGGGUUUCUUUUCUAAUUCUGUUGGGCUGCCUCCACGUGAUCAGGCCCGUCUAGCUCUACAAUCACUAAACGUCGCGUUUUCAAUUAGUGUUCGCAGUGUCUCUCUCUCUCUCUCUCGCAUCUCCACCCUUCCUCCAUUGCCAAUCUUUCGUCUUCCUCCUUCCGGUGGGAGAUGAAGCAGUAACCGAUACCCCCUAAUAAAACCCUCCUUAAUCAAUUACACACGAUUUCCAUUCAGUGCGACCCUGGAGAGUGCAAGGCGGUGGAGGCUCUGCUAUAAAAAGACUGGCCGCUCCUCCUCCUCUGUUCAAGUUCGCCUGCUCCGAUUUUGGGAGGCCAGAAACGUCCGGCGUGGGGGAGAAGCUUAUGGAAGUCGACAUGCUCCUUCUAGAUUCUCAGGCGACUAUGAUGCCGGCGAAGCUCACGAUGCUUCAAUUACACGAAGCUCACAGAGCAGUGGAAACGGUUUGAUGCUUUGAAGCGAAACGAUGCAUCAUCUCGCCCUGGAGAUCAUUGGUGUUGGGAAGAAGAAGCUUUAUGCAGCUAAAGUGUGGAUGAAGCCAAGGUUGAACUUCAAGGAGUCGCAGGAGUUCAAGUCUGCCAAUGACGUUUCCCCUACCAUUACUCCCUUCUAUCUUGGCUGCAAAUAAGGUAUGACCACGAACAUUACAUAUAUGUAUGCAAGACAUAUAUUAAUCUUAAGAAAAAUUUUGAUCUUUGUUAUGAACCAGAUUGUGGAUGGCUCAUAACCAAGAGAUUAUGAUUUGUAAUCUUUUCAUUUAUCUAUGACGGUGUAAUCUCCUAUAUAAGGAACCUCUAUGUUAUGAAUAAAGAUAGACUUUUCCAUUACUUUUAUAACACAUUA